UGCAAUCGCCGCGUCGCCCUCCUGCAUCAGAAGUGGUCGGCCGACGAUCUUAUCACGAGCCACCGCAGAACCGACCUCGUCAGUUAUAAAAGGAACCCCCCCGAGCGCUUCUAGCCAUUCAAGCCAGCUCUGCACAGCCUUAGGAAGCUCCACGUUGCUCCAAUUCGCCGGAGCCGCCACCUUCCCCACCGCCGGUAAUUUCGGCCACCGCCGCCCUUUAGUUAAAUCCGAGCAAACCAGAGCAUGUACUUUCCUUUUUUCUUCACCACUAGCUCCACCAUGACCCCCGAGGACCCAUUCCAGCAUUCAAUUUCGCUCGGGAGCUGCGGUGUGCAAAGCCCCCUUCAUGACCGAAGCUUCUUCCGCCAUUAGCGAAGCUCUACUCAACCGGAAGCUCCCCGGGCGCUUCUCCUCCCCCCAUGCGAUGCGGGUUGAUCUCCUAAGCAUGUGGAUAGGUCGGGCACUGAAAAUGGUGCACUGUGUCACCGGCAGCCAUCGCCGGACUCGCCACGUGCUCUCUGUCCAGGCGCGCGCUCAAGGAGGGAGACGAACCUGACAGCUGGUCCCCACCUGUUGGUGAGUCAACCCACUCCGUUGUUGGCGCACAGCGCGAGUACGUUUCCUUUUUGAAGCCGGAUAUUCCGUGAUGUGCGCUUUCUCUGUUAGAAGGUUGUUUGUACACCGGAUACGUUUCCUCUUUGCUGAAGACAUACUCUUAGCCGAAACGUUUUCUUUUUUCUGAUUUAUUUAAAAAUAGAAGUCUGACCCAACUGUGACUGCUCAUAUCUUUUUAAAUACAACUCCAAAUGAGUUGAUUCUUUUUCUCACCUUCUUCAAAUUUCCUCUAGUUUAUUUUAAGAUUUAUUUCAAAGAUUUUCAAACAACCUUUCAGUACUGUUUUGAAUUGUAUGUUGAUUUGAGUAUUUUUCAAAUAGGAAUUGGAGGGAAGGUUAAAAACUUUCAAAAAGUUUUGAUGUGCCCUUCACCUCUGUGCACCUUGAAGAAAAGCAUUCUGAACUUGGGCAUAGUAUUAGUUGUGUGUUGUUUGCUAGGACAAAUGAACGCCAUCUUUAUGCUAAAGCAAAGUGACGUUAUUUCAUGUGCUGAUAUAACCAUGCGUAUGAAUAAAUGAGGAGGAUUUACCUCUAUUGCAAAUAAGAUGCAUGUGACAUUAGUCACUACCUCAUGCCACAUAUGCCUACCGGAUGGGAUCAGGGAGAAGUCUCUGUCUUGGGAAGACACGACCUUGGAAGUGACAUCUCGCGAGACAAGGAUGAUCAGUGAGGCAUGAUGGGGUAUGAUAGGUGGUGAUCAUGUCUAGUAUUGUGAAACAUAUUCGAUGUGCUAAUCAUGCACGGAAAAAUAUAAACCUCCUGAGUCGGUCAUAGAUCGAGUCUUGGUCCAGUAACCUCCCUUACUUGCUUCGUACUACCACCUGUCUGUGUUGAAAACAUGGUACGGUUGAGUAAGUCGUCAACCCCUUUAUUGGCACAUACACCAUACAAGAGAGGUCAUACUGAAAGAUACCAAUGGCCCAUGGUAGGCAUGUCACUUGAUCCGAAGGCAUGGGUGUUUCUGGUCUGGGACCGAGAGGGAGGGCACUCCCUUGUAGCGCACGGUACGUGCGGUUUAACGAGUACCUUGGAAUCUUCUUCCCACUCAGAGUCUCGCCUAACGAGUGUCGUGGGUGAUUCCCAGACCUCCAGAGGCUGGUGUGUGCGGGUUAGGUAUGUGUGUUUUCAACUCAAAGACCGUAAUCGGAAUCAGUUGAUAUCUCCGGUUGACUAAAGAAAUCUGUUACUCGUGGGUAAAGAGUACACCCUGUGCAGAGUUGUAUAACUAUCCGGAUAGCCGUGUCCGCAGUUUAAGGACUACAGUCUGGGAUAGGUCAAGUGUCGGUGUAAGUGUCGGUAUUCGCAGGAAGUAAACUUAACCAUGAGACUAAAUUGUGAAACAUGGUGGAUGAUUAUGAUUAUUAUUUUUACCAUGGAUAUACGAAUGUUGAAUAUCCCUAGGACGGUUCUACCUCCUCGAUAUUCUUUGGUUUCCAUUUCAUAUAAGCCCCCUAUAUGGUGUCGCUUAGACGCCCGACUGUGGCGACUGUUAUUAUUACCAUAUAAACCCUUUAUGUGGUGCCGCGUAGACGUCCGACUGUGGCAUGUAUUUUAUUAUUUCACACCAUGCCCUUUAUGUGGUGUCGCCCACACGCGUGACUCACACAUGCCUAUUUAAUUAGCUCAUAUGAGCCCUUUAUGCUGUGUCGCUCAGACGCCCGACUGAGGCAUGCUUCACACUUUUAUCCUUUAGAGGAAUCGCUCCAAACACCCGAUCGAACUAUUCCCUCUUCUUGGAAAUAUUCGGGAGGAUCACCGCUCGAUGUUCCAUUUAAUUUACUUUACAUUGAUUGCUUAUUAAAAUCUCUGUAUGGAUGAAUUACCUGCUUUUUUGCACUCAAGAAAUUAAUUUAUGACUGAAGAAAUAUCAUAGAACUAUUUCAAGUGCAUAAUAAUCACUUACUAAUUUAUGUAUGUUUUCAUGAUGUUUGCAAGUACAUUCAAAAUACUCACUAGCUUGUCCCUGACUGUUGUCUUGGCGAGAUUGCAUGUUUGGAGAGGAGCAUCAUGAUGAUAGCCCCGGAGCCUAGGCACCGAAGACAACAGUUGCCUGAGAUAGGAAUUAUUCAGGUGAGCUGUUCGUGUGGGAAAUGGAGUCCCAUAGACGCAGGAGAUACCUGAACCGCUUCCGCCAGCAACCACUAGAAACCUUUUUGUUGUACUCCAUAGGCCUUCAUGGUCUUGUACUCCAAAUCUUGUAAUUGCUUGGAUAUUUAUAUCAAGGAAUUUGGUACUAGCUAA
rnacentral:lncRNA from 1 species